GCCAUGCUGUGGUGGCAUCGCACAUACAACAUAGAGAAAGACUGGCACAGAUGUUAGCUCAGGGCCAAUCUUCCUCAAGCAAAAAUAGGAAGAUUGGCAACAGAUGUUAGCUCAAGGCCAAUCUUCCUCACAAAAAAAAAAAGAAAAAAGAAAUAAAAAAAUAAAAUAAAAUAAGGAGGCUUCAAGUCUCAUAACAAUUGCAACACAAAGAUCCAGCCCUUGAAGAAAAUGACGGGUCAUGAAUCUCUUUUCUUUUCAAAUAUUUAUUUUAAUAGUAAAUCCGAACUGCCAUAUAGUAUUGACAUACCUGUUCUACGCCUUCUACUUCUGGAAUAUAAAACUGCAGCAUGUUCUGAAUUCCAUUCUUCAGAGUAAUGAUUGAACUGGGGCAGCUCGUACAAGAACCUUGGAGUUUCAGCUGGACGAUGCCAUCUUCAAAGCCUUUAUAGAUUACAUCUCCUCCAUCUUCCUGCACAGUUGGCCUGUGGUCACGGAAUAUUUCACAUACCGUAUUCUAGUAUCUAACAAUUCCUUAAUCAUUGCCACAACUUCAUCAUCUUCUUCAGAUCCUAGAAACAAUGAAAAAUAAAACAUAUCAACAGCAGAAAUUUCAUAUCCUUGCAAGUACAAGUAUUAAAACAUGAUGAUUUUAACUUAACAUCUCAUUAAAAAAAUAAAAGCAUAGAAUAUGUAACUUGGUAUGGUGAUGUAAGUGAUUUUGGGGAAAUGGAAAGAUCAUUCGAUUCUCUGAAGAAAAGUUAAGGAGAACUGAUCAACUCAACGUUUGGUGAUAAAGGUGGGUAUACCGAAAUAACUUGAUCUACUGAUGACGUUAGGGUUUGAAUUUUUUGGCCAAUAAAUUUUUAAACUUUCAUCAUUUUCAAGGAUUGAAAAGUCGCAGAGAGAGAGAUUGUCCGGAUUUUGAUGGAAACUUUGAGACAAAAGGGGCUGGCCCCGUGGCUGAGUGGUUAAGUUCACGCACUCCGCUGCAGGCGGCCCAGUGUUUCAUUGGUUCAAAUCCUGAGCACGGACAUGGCACUGCUCGUCAAACCACGCUGAGGCAGCAUCCCACAUGCCACAACCAGAAGGAUCCACAAUGAAGAAUAUACAACUAUGUUCUGGGGGGCUUUGGGGAGAAAAGGGAAAAAAAUAA
rnacentral:lncRNA from 1 species